rnacentral:rRNA from 1 species
AGAAUGAACGCUGGCGGCGUGCUUAACACAUGCAAGUCGAACGGAAUCCAAGGAGCUUGCUCCGAAAAAUUUAGUGGCGAACGGGUGAGUAUCACGUGAGCAACCUGCCCCCGAAGAUUGGGAUAACACCGGGAAACCGGUGCUAAUACCGAAUACCUUCCAAUGACCGCAUGGUCGAUGGAAGAAAUGUUUUUCGCUUCGGGAGGGGCUCGCGGUCCAUCAGCUUGUUGGCGGGGUAACGGCCCACCAAGGCAUCGACGGAUAGCUGGUCUGAGAGGACGAUCAGCCACACUGGAACUGAGACACGGUCCAGACUCCUACGGGAGGCAGCAGUGGGGAAUCUUGCGCAAUGGGCGAAAGCCUGACGCAGCAACGCCGCGUGAGGGACGAAGGCUUUCUGAGUUGUAAACCUCUUUCGACAGGAACGAUUGUGACGGUACCUGUAGAAGAAGCACCGGCCAACUAUGUGCCAGCAGCCGCGGU